CUCCUCUUGUUUUGUUGUUUUGAGGUAGGGCCUGCCCACUGAAUUAGUUUUGAAGGGCCGCGGUAUUUUGACCGUGCAAAGGUAGCAUAAUCAUUAGUCUUUUAAUUGUGGGCUGGUAUGAAUGGUUUGACGAGAUGCAAUCUGUCUUGGGUUGAUGAUUUAUUGAAUUUGGGUUUUGGGUAAAAAUACCUAAAUGUUUUUGUGGGACGAGAAGACCCUAUAGAGUUUUAUAUUGAUUUCUUUUUUGUUUGUUUGUGUGUGUUUAAGAUUGGGAUUAUUAUUUUGUUGGGGUGACAUGAAGAUUUAUUUAACUCUUCUUUUGUUUUUUUAUACAGAUUAGUAUUUUGUUGAUCCUUUAUUAUUGAUUUUAAGAUUAAAUUACC
rnacentral:rRNA from 1 species